UGCCAGCCGCCGCGGUAAUACGAAGGGACCUAGCGUAGUUCGGAAUUACUGGGCUUAAAGAGUUCGUAGGUGGUUGAAAAAGUUAGUGGUGAAAUCCCAGAGCUUAACUCUGGAACUGCCAUUAAAACUUUUCAGCUAGAGUAUGAUAGAGGAAAGCAGAAUUUCUAGUGUAGAGGUGAAAUUCGUAGAUAUUAGAAAGAAUACCAAUUGCGAAGGCAGCUUUCUGGAUCAUUACUGACACUGAGGAACGAAAGCAUGGGUAGCGAAGAGGAUUAGAUACCCUCGUAGUCCAUGCCGUAAACGAUGUGUGUUAGACGUUGGAAAUUUAUUUUCAGUGUCGCAGCGAAAGCGAUAAACACACCGCCUGGGGAGUACGACCGCAAGGUUAAAACUCAAAUGAAUUGACGGGGACCCGCACAAGUAGUGGAGCAUGUGGUUUAAUUCGAAGAUACGCGCAGAACCUUACCAACACUUGACAUGUUCGUCGCGACUCUAAGAGAUUAGAGUUUUCGGUUCGGCCGGACGAAACACAGGUGCUGCAUGGCUGUCGUCAGCUCGUGUCGUGAGAUGUUGGGUUAAGUCCCGCAACGAGCGCAACCCUCACUUUUAGUUGCCAUCAUUAAGUUGGGGACUCUAGGGAGACUGCCGGUGUCAAACCCGAGGAAGGCGGGGAUGACGUCAAGUCCUCAUGGCCCUUACGAACAGGGCUACACACGUACUACAAUGGGCAGAACAAAGAGACGCAAG
rnacentral:rRNA from 1 species